rnacentral:rRNA from 1 species
AGAGUUUGAUCCUGGCUCAGAUUGAACGCUGGCGGCAUGCCUAACACAUGCAAGUCGAACGAGGUGUAGCAAUACAUCUAGUGGCGGACGGGUGAGGAAUACAUAGGAAUCUGCCUCAGAGCGGGGGAUAGCCCAGGGAAACUUGGAGUAAUACCGCAUGAUGUCGAGAGACCAAAGCAGGGGACCGCAAGGCCUUGCACUCUGAGAGGAGCCUAUGUCUGAUUAGCUAGUUGGCGGGGUAACGGCCCACCAAGGCAACGAUCAGUAGCUGGUCUGAGAGGACGAUCAGCCACACCGGAACUGAGACACGGUCCGGACUCCUACGGGAGGCAGCAGUGGGGAAUAUUGGACAAUGGGCGAAAGCCUGAUCCAGCAAUGCCGCGUGUGUGAAGAAGGCCUUCGGGUUGUAAAGCACUUUAGGCUGGAAAGAAAAAAUUCAAGCUAACAUCUUGAGUCUUGACGGUACCAGCAGAAUAAGCACCGGCUAACUCUGUGCCAGCAGCCGCGGUAAUACAGAGGGUGCAAGCGUUAAUCGGAUUUACUGGGCGUAAAGCGUGUGUAGGUGGCUACUCAAGUCGGUUGUGAAAUCCCCGGGCUCAACCUGGGAAUUGCUUCCGAGACUGAGUGACUAGAGUACGGUAGAGGGCGGUGGAAUUUCCGGUGUAGCGGUGAAAUGCGUAGAUAUCGGAAGGAACACCAAUGGCGAAGGCAGCCGCCUGGGCCUGUACUGACACUGAGACACGAAAGCGUGGGGAUCAAACAGGAUUAGAUACCCUGGUAGUCC